UUAGGCAGGAAUGGAUUUUUUUUUUUUUCUCAUCAAUGUUAUAACAAAACCACAUUGAACAAAAUGAUCUUAUUAGAGAAUCUGCUGUACUUAAUAUUGUUAAGGUGUCAAUUGAUUCCCCAGAUGUAUCUAAAAAUACAAUUCAAUCCCUAUAAAAAUUCCAACUGCUUGUACUUAUUUAUUUGCAGAAAUGGACAAGCCCAAUUCUAAAUAUUCACAUGGAACAGCAAGGGACCUUAAGUACCUAAAACAAUUUUGAAAAAGAAGAACAAUAUUGGAGGACUCAUACUUCCCAGUCUUUUGUUUUUGUUUUUUGGUAGAUGGAGUCUCUGUUGCCCAGGCUGCGUUGGUAUAUUAGCGUUAUAUGGUAAAACAAUUAAAAUAUGUUCAAAAUAUUUGACAGCAUUAAGAAUAACUAGAAAAGAGGAAAAUAACGGUCAACGUGUGCUGCUCCCUGGACGGUUAAAUUUGCAUAACGGCUACCACGCCCUUCCAACAAGCCACGCCCCCUUCCCAGAAUCUUCCUUUGCCUGGGGCCGUUCCCGCAGUGUUUCCCCGGGCUUGCUCCUCAUCUUCAGUUCAGGGUUCUCCUCGGUAAGGCUGUAUCUGACCCACUUUUCCCAAAAGAGGCCCAUCUCGGCCUCUUUUCUUUAUCACCUGGGUCACUACUAAUUGUUUAAUUUCCCUGUCUCCUCUAUUCACUGUAAGAUGGUGACGCUGCAUCAUCGGGGUCAGCAGUAGGCGUUACUAAAAGGGGGUAGGGGCCGGGCGUGGUGGUUCACGCCUGUAAUUCCAGCACUUUGGGAGGCCACGGCGGGGCGGAUCACUUGAGGUUGGGAGUUUGAGACCAUCCUGGCCAACAUGGUGAAACCCCGUCUCUACUAAAAACGUGAACAUUAGCCGGGUGUAAUCCCAGCUACUAGGGAGGCUGACGCAGGAGAAUUGCUUGAACCCAGGAGGCGGAGGUUGCAGUGAGCCGAGAUUGCGCCACUGCACUUUGUUAUUUUACGUUAUUUAUUUAUUUAUAGACUUUUCUGAGACAGGGUCUUGCUUUGUUCCCCAGCCUGGAGUGUAGUGGCACAGUCACGGCUCGCUACAGUCCCGAUCUCCUGGGCUUAAUGGAUCCUCCCGCCUCAGCCUCCCAAGAAGCUGGGCCCACAGGUGCUCAUUUUUUUUUUUUCUCCUGAGAAUCUCGCUCCUUUGCCCAGGCUGGAGUGCAGUGGCGCGAUCUCGGCUUAUAGCAACCUCUGCCUCCCGGGUUCAAGCCAUUCUCAUGCCUCAGCCUCCUGAGUAGCUGGGAUUACAGGCACCCGCCACCACGCCCAGGUAAUUUUUUUUAUUUUCAGUACAGACGGAGUUUCACCAUGUUGGUCUGCCUGGUCUCGAACUGCGGUCUCAGGUGAUCCGCCCGCCUCGGCCUCCCGAAGUGCUGGGAUUACAGGCGUGAGCCACCGCGCCCGGUCUCGGUGGCUAAAUUUUAACUUUUUUUUGUAGACACGGGUGUCUCGCUACGUUGCACAGGCCGGUCUCUCUGAACUCCGGGCUCAAGCGAGCCUCCCGCCUGGGCCUCCCAAAGCGGUGGGACUGGAAGCAGGAGCCACCGCGCCGCCGUGGGAUUUACUCUGCUGCGUUGCGCAUCGCGCGCGUUGUUCGCAAGACCUAAGGACUCCCUUUCUGUAGCAUAAAGGAUAUACAUAUGUUCCUCCGAAAUUACACGUUUCCAUAAUUUACAUUUUAGGUCUUUAAAGCUAAAGAGAAAAAUUACUUCGUCACCGUAGUACAUCCGCUGAGACACCUGAAGCGUGGACAAAAGAAGAAACAGGAACGGAAAUGGCCAGCGGGUAGGGGCUGACCCCACCCGCGGCGCGGCUCAUCCCGGAGUCGCCCCGCCCGCGGGAAGCCAGGGCGGGGCCGAGGUCAAGGUUCCGCGGCAAACUCUCCCCGUCCAC
ensembl:lncRNA